AGAACCCAAUAGAAGAAGAACCAGUGCAGAAAAACCGCAGCUACAGCACAAGGAGAAAAUUUUAUUUAGGAUCUUUCAAUUCGAAAACCUUAGUAUGAGCACAGGUGAAAAGAAGCGAUUGAAUGGAGAAGCUGAAGAAGAUGAUGAUGUUGAUGUAGAUGGUGAUGGACUUGAUGCGUGGGAGAGGACUUACACUGAUGAGAGGUCAUGGGAGGCUCUGCAAGAGGAUGAGUCAGGACUGCUUCGCCCUAUAGACAAUAAGGCCAUCUACCAUGCUCAGUAUCGCCGACGCCUUCGUUCCCUGUCUACCACUGCUGUUCGCAUCCAGAAGGGCCUCAUUCGCUUUCUUUACAUCGUUGUUGAUCUCUCCAGGGCAGCAUCAGAGAUGGA
rnacentral:misc_RNA from 1 species